UACGUAGGGUGCAAGCGUUGUCCGGAAUUAUUGGGCGUAAAGGGCUCGUAGGCGGUCCGUCACGUCGGGAGUGAAAUCCUGGGGCUUAACCCCAGAACUGCUUCCGAUACGGGCAGACUAGAGGUAGGUAGGGGAGAAUGGAAUUCCUGGUGUAGCGGUGGAAUGCGCAGAUAUCAGGAGGAACACCAGUGGCGAAGGCGGUUCUCUGGGCCUUACCUGACGCUGAGGAGCGAAAGCGUGGGGAGCAAACAGG
rnacentral:rRNA from 1 species